UAGCUUUGGGGCAGAGUUACCAUGAAUUCCCUGCCAUAUCUUGGGCUCUAGGUAGGUUCAAUCCUCAAUUGAAUGAAUCGAAGGAAUUAAACCCAGCAGCAAACAAACUGAAAUUACCAAAUUGGUAAUUUCUGUUUUUUGCUGCUCGAUUUAAUUCCUUCGUUUCAAUUGAGGAUAUAACCUACCUUGAGCCAAAGAUAUGGUGGGAAUUCAUGGUAACCAGAGCUACAAAAGUUGGGACUAUUUACU